rnacentral:rRNA from 1 species
GGGCUCACUAGGGCGUCGAUACAUAGCCGACCUGAGAGGGUGAUCGGCCACACUGGGACUGAGACACGGCCCAGACUCCUACGGGAGGCAGCAGUAGGGAAUCUUCGGCAAUGGGGGSAACCCUGACCGAGCAACGCCGCGUGAGUGAAGAAGGUUUUCGGAUCGUAAAGCUCUGUUGUAAGWCAAGAACGGGUGUGAGAGUGGAAAGUUCACAAC